UACAGAGGCGGCAAGCGUUGUUCGGAAUUAUUGGGCGUAAAGAGCACGUAGGCGGCUGUGUAAGUCGGUUGUGAAAGCCUUCCGCUCAACGGAAGAACGGCAUCCGAUACUGCAUGGCUUGAGUGUGGGAGGGGAGAGUGGAACUUCUGGUGGAGCGGUGAAAUGCGUAGAUAUCAAGAGGAAUACCGGUGGCGAAGGCGGUCAUCUGGCCCGAUACUGACGCUCAGGUGCGAAGGCCGGGGGAGCAAAC
rnacentral:rRNA from 1 species